ACACAUGCAAGUCGAGGGGCAGCGCGGGAUAGCAAUAUCCUGGCGGCGACCGGCGGAAGGGUGCGUAACGCGUGAGCGACAUGCCCGUUGCCCGGGGACAACCGGUGGAAACGCCGACUAAUCCCCGAUGGGAUAUUGUGCCGCAUGGCACGAUAUUGAAAGUUACGGCGGCGACGGAUUGGCUCGCGUCCGAUUAGCUUGUUGGCGGGGUAACGGCCCACCAAGGCUACGAUCGGUAGGGGUUCUGAGAGGAAGGCCCCCCACAAUGGGACUGAGACACGGCCCAUACUCCUACGGGAGGCAGCAGUGAGGAAUAUUGGUCAAUGGGCGGAAGCCUGAACCAGCCAUGCCGCGUGCGGGAAGGAGGCCCUAUGGGCUGUGAACCGCUUUUGCCUGGGGGCAAUAAGGGCGUCGCGCACGUCCGAUGAGAGUACCAGGCGAAUAAGCAUCGGCUAACUCCGUGCCAGCAGCCGCGGUAAUACGGGG
rnacentral:rRNA from 1 species